rnacentral:misc_RNA from 1 species
GAACUGCGAUAAGUAAUGUGAAUUGCAGAAUUCAGUGAAUCAUCGAGUCUUUGAACGCACAUUGCGCCCCCUGGCAUUCCGGGGGGCAUGCCUGUCCGAGCGUCAUUGCUGCCCUUCAAGCCCGGCUUGUGUGUUGGGUCGUCGUCCCCCCCGGGGGACGGACCCGAAAGGCAGCGGCGGCACCGUGUCCGGUCCUCGAGCGUAUGGGGCUUUGUCACCCGCUCGAUUAGGACCGGCCGGGCGCCCGCCGGCGUCAAACCCCAAUCUUUCUAAGGUUGACCUCGGAUCGGGUAGGGAUACCCGCUGAACUUAAGC